rnacentral:rRNA from 1 species
UGGGGAAUAUUGCACAAUGGGCGCAAGCCUGAUGCAGCCAUGCCGCGUGUAUGAAGAAGGCCUUCGGGUUGUAAAGUACUUUCAGUCGGGAGGAAGGUGGUAAGGUUAAUAACCUUAUCAAUUGACGUUACCGACAGAAGAAGCACCGGCUAACUCCGUGCCAGCAGCCGCGGUAAUACGGAGGGUGCAAGCGUUAAUCGGAAUUACUGGGCGUAAAGCGCACGCAGGCGGUUGAUUGAGUCAGAUGUGAAAUCCCCGGGCUUAACCCGGGAAUUGCAUCUGAUACUGGUCAGCUAGAGUCUUGUAGAGGGGGGUAGAAUUCCAUGUGUAGCGGUGAAAUGCGUAGAGAUGUGGAGGAAUACCGGUGGCGAAGGCGGCCCCCUGGACAAAGACUGACGCUCAGGUGCGAAAGAGUGGGGAGCAAACAGG